UGUGGAACUUCGGUUAUGUAUGAUGAUAUGCGUGUAUAUGACUGGAGUAAAGGAAUGUGGUAUAGGGUUUCACUACAACACUCAAAAAUAACAACAGUCACACGAAGAUAUCCAUAUAUGAACAUUAUCCGAUCGUCGCAUCCUCACAUUUAUAUAUCACGCAGUUUCACUCGACACACCACGACUACACAACACAAACACGUCUGAAUGUCUGUUACUGAAUGGUCAAUAUGUGUGUGAAGUACAGCUGUGGAACUUCGGUUAUGUAUGAUGAUAUGCGUGUAUAUGACUGGAGUAAGAGAACAAGGUGUAGGGUUUUCACAUACAACGCUUAAAAAUAACAACAGCCACACGAAGACAUUCAUAUUCGAACAUAUUCCGAUCGUCGCAUCCUCACAUUUAUAUAUCACGCAUUUUCACUCGACACACCACGACUACACAACACAAACACGUCUGAAUGUCUGUUACUGAAUGGU
rnacentral:lncRNA from 1 species